ensembl:lincRNA
CUACAGGACCUUGUCUGACUCAGUCUUACGGGGGGGUCUCAUCCCAUGGAGGGGAUCCCCAGCACUUCAGGGGACUGAAACCCCAGUGGGACCUGCUCAGGCCACUGGCCCCAGCUUGUAAAGCCGAGUUCUCUCACACUUACCGUCCCCACAGAAAUCCUUCGGGCUCACCCUGAGACUGUGGGAUGUGCUCAUCUUGGAGGGCAAUCGAUUACUGACAGCCAUGGCCCAUGCAUCAUUCAAAAUACACAGGAGUAAGUCUCAUGUGCCCGAGGGUGCUUGGGGGAACACGUGGGCCUGGGGGAAGUGUCCUUAUACUGCCUGCUCCAUCUGGCUAGGGGGGUCUGGCCUGGUGGGCUGGGCAAGGCAUGAUGACACUGAGUCCACCCCCUACAUGACCCAGAUGAAAGUCAGGAGUGUGGUGAGCACUUCCCUGCCUGGCCUUCCUCAACUGUAGCCUCCUGUGCACAGCUGGACCCCGGGGUGGCCAAAAAGGACCAGGCACCACCCAGUGGGAGGUGGGCCUGGUGGAAAUGGGGUGCAGGCACUGACCCCUCCCAGGGAACCCUCCUGGCCUGAUGCCCGCCCUGUCCCUAGAGCGCCUUAUGAAGCUUUCCUGGAGCACCAUCUGGGAGUUUCAGGAGCGACUGUCUCAGAGCUGGGCCCUGGAGGACAACACAGUCCUCAGGAAUCUUCAAGCCUCUAUGAAGGAACUCACAAAAAAACACUGGGACCUGCCACCCCCAGCCAAGCUGGAGCAAUGGUCCUCAAGGGUGUCCCCUGGCAUUGAGCCCCCCCAUGAGGGGGACAGACUGGCCGUCCCCACCCCACCAGCUCAGCUCCAGGAGCUCAUGCCAUCAGUCCCCCUGGGACAAAAGCCUUGUCCUCUGCCAGCCUGGCCUAAUGGGGCUGUCCCCAAGGCCCAGGCUGAGGUCCAUCAGCACGAAGGGGCUUCUCAAGAACCCAGAACAGAAGACUGCUGUCUGAGGGGCCCGGAGUCUCGAGAUGACGGCAGCCUGUCCCCGGGUGAGGUCAGGCUUUGUAUUACACGGAAACACUUGUCCAGGAACGCUAGGCCACAGCUCCACACACACCCGCAUGUCGGGGGUCCAUGUUUCCUGUGCUGCCAUUUUGAACACAGCUCCUGGGACUCUGAGGGGGCUUCCCCAGAACCCAGGGCAGAAGACUGCUGUCCAACAGGCCCAGAGGCUCGAGAUGAGGGUAGGAUGUCCCCUGGUGAGGUCAGGCUUCGUAUUACACGGAAACAUUUGUCCAGGAACUCUACACCACAGCUCCACACAGACCUGCAUGUCAGGGGCCCAGGGGCUUCUCAAGAACCCAGGGCAGCAGGCUGUUCUCAGGGGCGCCCAGAGGUUCAAGAUGACGGCAGCCUGUCCCCCGGUGAGGUCAGGCUUUGUAUUACACGGAAACACUUGUCCAGGAACUCUACACCACAGCUCCACACAGACCCGCAUGUCGGGGGUCCAUGUUUCCUGUGCUGCCAUUUUGAACACGGCUCCUGGGACUCUGUCACUUCUCCAUCUUCUGUGGACAGCAGCCCUGGAACAACAAGACGCACCCCGCCCAGCGAGCCCACUGGGACCGCGACACCAGGCCCUGCCUGGGUUUAUGACAGGGAGGAGGCACUUCGAGAGAUACCCCUGCAACAAGGUGUCCUCUGCCCGCUACUCCCCUCAGCAGAAGAACAACAUGGCAUGGAGGGAGCCCAGGCAGCACCUGCCCGGCUGCCUCGCAGCCCCAGAUGGCUGCUGGACCUUGAUUUUUACUGUUAUUUUUUUUUUAUUUUAUAUUUUUGUCUUCUUGGCCUUGGGAAAUACUUAGCGGGGGACUUGGUCCCCUCACGGCCUCAGGAGGGAAGGCUGAGCAUGAGGUUCCCACAGCCCCAGCCAGGCAGCAGCGUGCCCUGGGGCCCCUGACCCCACCUGUGGG